rnacentral:rRNA from 1 species
GACGGGGGGGGCAAGUGUUCUUCGGAAUGACUGGGCGUAAAGGGCACGUAGGCGGUGAAUCGGGUUGAAAGUCAAAGUCGCCAAAAACUGGCGGAAUGCUCUCGAAACCAAUUCACUUGAGUGAGACAGAGGAGAGUGGAAUUUCGUGUGUAGGGGUGAAAUCCGGAGAUCUACGAAGGAACGCCAAAAGCGAAGGCAGCUCUCUGGGUCCCUACCAACGCUGGGGUGCGAAAGCAUGGGGAGCGAACAGG